UACGGAGGAUGCAAGCGUUAUCCGGAUUUAUUGGGUUUAAAGGGUGCGUAGGCGGGAAAAUAAGUCAGUGGUGAAAUCCUACAGCUUACCUGUAGAAUUGCCGUUGAUACUGUUUUUCUUGAGUAUGGUCAAGGAAGGCGGAAUGUGUAAUGUAGCGGUGAAAUGCUUAGAUAUUACACAGAACACCAAUUGCGAAGGCAGCUUUCUGGCCCAUUACUGACGCUGAGGCACGAAAGCGUGGGGAUCGAACAGGAUUAGAUACCCUGGUA
rnacentral:rRNA from 1 species